AACGAACGCUGGCGGCGUGCUUAAGACAUGCAAGUCGUACGGUAAGGCCCCCUUCGGGGGGUACACGAGUGGCGCACGGGUGAGUAACGCGUGGGUAAUCUACCUCCGGGUCUGGGACAACUUCGGGAAACUGGAGCUAAUACCGGAUAAGACCACGAGGUCCUCGGACUUCGCGGAAAAAGGUGGCCUCUUCUUGAAAGCUACCGCCCGUUGAUGAGCCCGCGUCCCAUUAGUUUGUUGGUGAGGUAACGGCUCACCAAGGCACCGAUGGGGUAGCUGGUCUGAGAGGAUGAUCAGCCACACUGGAACUGAGACACGGUCCAGACUCCUACGGGAGGCAGCAGUCGGGAAUUUUGGGCAAUGGGCGCAAGCCUGACCCAGCAACGCCGCGUGAGGGAUGAAGGCCUUCGGGUCGUAAACCUCUGUCGAGAGGGACGAACGAUCAGCGGGUGAACAAUCCGGUGGUCUGACGGUACCUCCAAAGGAAGUGCCGGCUAACUCCGUG
rnacentral:rRNA from 1 species